UCAAGAGAGAGAAGGGUUUAAGGUGGAUGCCUUGGCGUAUCAAGGCGAAGAAGGCCGUGGCAAGCUGCGAAAAGCGACGGGGAGUAGCAAACAUACAGAGAACCGUUGAUAGCCGAAUGGGGUAACCCAACAGGUGAGAGCCUGUUAUCCGUAGUUGAAUAAAUAGGUUACGGAAGCGAAACUGGGGGAAGUGAACCAUCUAAGUACCCCGGGAAGAGAAAUCAAAAGAGAUUCCGGAAGUAGCGGCGAGCGAAACCGGAGGAGCCCAAACCGCUAAAAAAGCGGGGUUGAAGGACCGCGACAUCUUGGCAGUCAUGAUAGGAGAACGGCUUGGGAAAGCCGGCGAGAGAGGGUGAAAGCCCCGUAUCCGAAAUUAUGGCUGUUAGGUAGCGGGAUCCUGAGUACGGCGGGGCACGAGGAACCCCGCCGGAAGCCGGGUCGACCACGAUCCAAGGCUAAAUACUAGAUACGACCGAUAGCGCAGAAGUACCGUGAGGGAAAGGCGAAAAGAACCCCAGCGAGGGGAGUGAAAAAGAACCUGAAACCGUAAACCCACAACAGGUCAGAGCCCGGUUUAGAGCCGGGUGAUGGCGUGCCUUUUGUAGAAUGAGCCUGCGAGUUACGAUGUAUAGCAAGGUUAAGGCUUGGAAGAGCCGGAGCCGAAGGGAAACCGAGUCUGAAUAGGGCGUUUAGUUGUAUGUCGUAGACCCGAAGCCAAGUGAUCUUGUUAUGUGCAGGUUGAAGGCAGGGUAAAACCUGUUGGAGGACCGAACACAAAUCUGUUUAAAAAGGUUGUGAUGACAUGUGACAAGGAGCGAAAGACUAAACAAACUUGGAAAUAGCUGGUUCUCCCCGAAAUGCCUUGAGGGACAGCCUUAUCAAAACCUUACGCAGGUAGAGCACUGGAUGGACUAGGGGGCUUCACCGCCUACCAAACCCAAUCAAACUCCGAAUGGCGUAAGACAACUGAUAGGAGUGAGACUCAAGGUUCGUAGUCGAGAGGGAAACAGCCCAGACCGCCGGCUAAGGUCCCAAAUAGUAUGCUAAGUGUUAAAUGAUGUGCCGUGGCGCAGACAGCCAGGAUGUUGGCUUAGAAGCAGCCACUCAUUUAAAGAGUGCGUAAUAGCUCACUGGUCGAGUCACGACGCGCAGACAAUGUAACGGGGCUUAAGCAUACAACCGAAGCCGCGGGAUCAUGCAGCAAUGCAUGGUCGGUAGGGGAGCAUUCCACGAACCGAAGAAGGUAACUUGGGAAAGUUGCUGGAGGGGGUGGAAGAGAGAAUGCAGGUAUAAGUACACGAAAAGACGGGUGAGAUUCCCGUCCGCCGAAAGCCUAAGGAUUCCUGGGUAAAGGUCAUCUGCCCAGGGUAAGUCGGCCCCUAAGACGAGGGCGAAAGCCGUAGUCGAUGGGAAACUGGUUCAGAUUCCAGUACCAUUCAUGGUUUUAUGGGAUGACGCGUGAGGUGAAACCCGGCCGGGCGACGGUUGCCCCGGUCGAAGCAGUAAGUUAUUGGGGGCGGAGAAAACGCCUUUAGACAAGCUGCGACAGCGAGCUGUAUUACGGUACAGCGAAGCGGGUGUAAUCAAGGCGCCAAGAAAUAAUCCCCACUAGACAGGCCAUGAAGACCGUACCGCAAACCGACACAGGUAGGCGGGAUGAGAAAUCUAAGGCGCUCGAGAGAACUCGCGUUAAGGAACUCGGCAAAAUACGCACGUAACUUCGGGAGAAGUGCGACCACCGGCAGUUUUAGCAAUAGAGUUGUUGGUGGUGUCACAAAGCAGUCCCAGGCGACUGUUUAUCAAAAACACAGGCCUCUGCGAACCAGCAAUGGGAAGUAUAGGGGCUGACACCUGCCCGGUGCCGGAAGGUUAAGAGGAGCGGUUAGUCGCAAGAUGAAGCUGUGAAUCGAAGCCCCGGUAAACGGCGGCCGUAACUAUAACGGUCCUAAGGUAGCGAAAUUCCUUGUCGGGUAAGUUCCGACCCGCACGAAAGGUGUAACGAUCUGUGAAAUUUAAGUACCGGUAAAGAUGCCGGUUACCCGUGGUUAGACGGAAAGACCCCGUGAACCUUCACCGCAACUUAUCAUGGGGACUUGAUUAGACAUGUGUAGGAUAGGUGGGAGACUAUGAGGCGUGGGCGUUAGCUUGCGCGGAGUCGCCGGUGAAAUACCACCCUUGUUUGAUUAGGUUUCUAACCCUGCCCGUGAAUCCGGGUAGGGGACAGUGAUAGGCAGGCGGUUUGACUGGGGCGGUCGCCUCCUAAAGAGUAACGGAGGUGCGCGAAGGUCUCCUCGCGC
rnacentral:rRNA from 1 species